AAUCAUUAGUUGCGUUAACUCUUAAAUCAAAAAGGAGUAUCUGUUCUUUUCAGCUUAAUAUCUGAAAUGCUUCUCAUUGAGUAGCUUCUACAGUAUAUUAAACUGAUUUUUGGAUUUAGGCCAUGGAGUAGGAGCUUGCUCCGUCCUGGCCACGGGUUGGCCAUGGUAUUGCAGUACCUCCAGGAUCGGCCCAUCCUCU